GUUCGGCGGACGGGUGAGUAACGCAUGGGAAUCUGCCCGAUAGUGGGGGAUAACCUGGGGAAACCCAGGCUAAUACCGCAUACGUCCUACGGGAGAAAGCAGGGGAUCUUCGGACCUUGCGCUAUCGGAUGAGCCCAUGUCGGAUUAGCUUGUUGGUGAGGUAAUGGCUCACCAAGGCGACGAUCCGUAGCUGGUCUGAGAGGAUGAUCAGCCACAUCGGGACUGAGACACGGCCCGAACUCCUACGGGAGGCAGCAGUGGGGAAUAUUGGACAAUGGGCGAAAGCCUGAUCCAGCCAUGCCGCGUGUGUGAAGAAGGCCCUCGGGUUGUAAAGCACUUUCAGUGGGGAAGAAAGCCUUGGGAUUAAUACUCCCGAGGAAGGACAUCACCCACAGAAGAAGCACCGGCUAACUCCGUGCCAGCAGCCGCGGUAAUACGGAGGGUGCGAGCGUUAAUCGGAAUUACUGGGCGUAAAGCGCGCGUAGGCGGUCUGAUAAGCCGGUUGUGAAAGCCCCGGGCUCAACC
rnacentral:rRNA from 1 species